GACGAACGCUGGCGGCGUGCCUAAUACAUGCAAGUCGAGCGAAGUUUUUCUGGUGCUUGCACCGGAAAAACUUAGCGGCGAACGGGUGAGUAACACGUAAAGAACCUGCCUCAUAGACUGGGACAACUAUUGGAAACGAUAGCUAAUACCGGAUAACAGCAUUAACUGCAUGGUUGAUGUUUAAAAGUUGGUUUUGCUAACACUAUGAGAUGGCUUUGUGGUGCAUUAGCUAGUUGGUGGGGUAAAGGCCUACCAAGGCGACGAUGCAUAGCCGACCUGAGAGGGUGAUCGGCCACACUGGGACUGAGACACGGCCCAGACUCCUACGGGAGGCAGCAGUAGGGAAUCUUCCGCAAUGGGCGAAAGCCUGACGGAGCAACGCCGCGUGAGUGAAGAAGGAUUUCGGUUCGUAAAGCUCUGUUGUUAGGGAAGAAUGAUUGUGUAGUAACGAUACACAGUAGAGACGGUACCUAACCAGAAAGCCACGGCUAACUACGUG
rnacentral:rRNA from 1 species